AUUUUGGUGGCUGAAUUAGGCGGUAGAUUGUAAAUCUUCUUAUGGUAAAUUACCCAGGGUU
rnacentral:tRNA from 1 species